CCUACGGGAGGCAGCAGUGGGGAAUUUUGGACAAUGGGCGCAAGCCUGAUCCAGCCAUGCCGCGUGCGGGAAGAAGGCCUUCGGGUUGUAAACCGCUUUUGUCAGGGAAGAAAUCCUUUGAGCUAAUACCUCGGGGGGAUGACGGUACCUGAAGAAUAAGCACCGGCUAACUACGUGCCAGCAGCCGCGGUAAUACGUAGGGUGCAAGCGUUAAUCGGAAUUACUGGGCGUAAAGCGUGCGCAGGCGGUUAUGCAAGACAGAUGUGAAAUCCCCGGGCUCAACCUGGGAACUGCAUUUGUGACUGCAUAGCUGGAGUGCGGCAGAGGGGGGUAUGGAAUUCCGCGUGUAGCAGUGAAAUGCGUAGAUAUGCGGAGGAACACCGAUGGCGAAGGCAAUCCCCUGGGCCUGCACUGACGCUCAUGCACGAAAGCGUGGGGAGCAAACAGGAUUAGAUACCCUGGUAGUCCACGCCCUAAACCGAUGUCAACUGGUUGUUGGGAGGGUUUCUUCUCAGUAACGUAGCUAACGCGUGAAGUUGACCGCCUGGGGAGUACGGCCGCAAGGUUGAAACGUCAAAUGAAAUUGACGGCUGAGAGNGCGAGGACGACGACGAGGGGAGAGG
rnacentral:rRNA from 1 species